rnacentral:rRNA from 1 species
ACGGAAGGCAGCAGUGGGGAAUAUUGCACAAUGGGCGAAAGCCUGAUGCAGCGACGCCGCGUGAGUGAAGAAGUAUCUCGGUAUGUAAAGCUCUAUCAGCAGGGAAGAAAAUGACGGUACCUGACUAAGAAGCCCCGGCUAACUACGUGCCAGCAGCCGCGGUAAUACGUAGGGGGCAAGCGUUAUCCGGAUUUACUGGGUGUAAAGGGAGCGUAGACGGUUUGGCAAGUCUGAAGUGAAAUGCGGGGGCUCAACUCCUGAACUGCUUUGGAAACUGUCGAACUAGAGUGCAGGAGAGGUAAGUGGAAUUCCUAGUGUAGCGGUGAAAUGCGUAGAUAUUAGGAGGAACACCAGUGGCGAAGGCGGCUUACUGGACUGUAACUGACGUUGAGGCUCGAAGGCGUGGGGAGCAAACAGGAUUAGAUACCCUGGUA